rfam:Lupinus angustifolius cultivar Tanjil chromosome LG02, whole genome shotgun sequence.
AAUAGUUUAAGAGAGCUUCCUUCAGCCCACUCAUGGAUGGGUAAAAAGUUUGAAUUAGCUGCUGAAUCAUUCAUUCAAACACAAUAGAUCAAGCAUCAUGAUAUGCUAUUGUGAAUGUGUGAAUGAUGCAGGAGCUAGAUUUCUUCCUUUUCUUAUCUGUACUUGGACUGAAGGGAGCUCCCUUUUACCGAACU